CACAUUCACUCACCACUCACUGACUCACCCAGAGCAACUUCCAGUUUUGCAAGCUCCAUUUGUGAUGAAGAUGAAUAUGCUCUCACCAGACAGAUUCUUGUGGCCCACGGAGAAAUCUGGGCUAGUUCCCUUUCCUUGCUAAUGAAGGGUGGUCACCGAGGAGACUGAAGGGAAAUUUUUCAAACCAGAGACAGGGUCUCCCUCUGUUACCCAGGCUGGAGUGCAGUGGUGUGAUCAUGGCUCACUGUAGCCUCAAACUCUUGGGCUCAAAGGAUCUUCCCGCCUCACCCUCCGAGUAGCUGGGACCACAGGCGUGCACCACCAUGCCCAAGACAAAAAGUCUCAGGCUGAGAGCAGCAAGUGCAAAGGCCGUGGUGGAGUGGGAGACUACUCACUGUGUCGCAGGGAAGGAGAGGAGACCUACAUUGACUGAUGGGCGGUCAUGGCAUGUGAGCAAUAAAGAAGAAUGGUGAGGCCCCACCCAUUGGCCUUAUAUCACUGGGAUCUUUUUCUCAUGCAAUGUGCAGUUAAUGGAAGGUUUAGAGCAAGGGAAUGAAGGGCUCUGAUGAUUCAUAAUAAUAAUAGCAUAGUGUGACUAUUAUGGUCAUUUUUGAACUAUCACUCUUCUAGCAGGAUUAGGAAAGAGGCCCUAGACCAGAAACACAGACAGGGAGACCCAGUCCAGGAACAGGUGGAUUAGCAAGGGAGGGCAGGGACUGAAGAACCUUGGGUACUAAGUGCACCAAGGGCACUGAGAGAAGGCCUGGGCUGCUGAUUCCAUGCUCCUGUGUCACUUUGCUUUAGUGUUACUGCUGUUCUGCCCUUUGGCCAAGGGAAAAGAUAAGAGUAAUUUGAAAGGAAAUACCCCUGGGAGAAUAACAGCUUGUUUACCUGAAAUGGAUAAUUCCCUGGAACAGGAUUUGCCAGCUUUCAAGGAUUCUAAAAUUAUGAGGCCAAUCUGCACUUUAACCUGGACACGAUCAGGACGUACUAAACUGAGGCCGGAGAACCAGCCCUGGAGUUAAGACUCCUAUUUUCAGUUUUGCUUUCGACCUUCCACAAACUGUUCCAAUUCUCACUCAUCUCCUGAUUUCAUAGUAUUUUGGGCAUCACAUUUCCAUGACUUGACUCCCUACACAAAUUCUGCUUUGAAGCUUUUUCUAUGCUGAAGCCACAGUGGAUCAAUUCAGUCCAACAACUGCUCAGCAGAAGGGAAGGGAAGUCAAUCAAAGCAGGGAUUUGGUGUCAAGUAAACACAGUAAUAGGCUUUUAACUGAAUGAGUCUUUCCCUUUUUAGCCAAUUGUUUUGCUGUGUAGACACAGCCUCAAGUAGCCCCAGUACCAUUUGUCUCUUCCCAACGACUCCUCCCUAUUCUCCUUCCUGGUAGCUCUGUGGGCUCCUUCAUGCUGGUUUCCAUGCCACAACCUAUCUGGAAUCUUGGAAUUGCAGAAUUUCAGAGGAAAGAGAAGUCUGGAGUAUAUCUGAAGUCAUGACAAACAACUUCCUUUCCCCAUAGCUGAUAAAGACUGGGCCUGUGGGUUCCAUAUGAAGGGAAGGUGUGAACACCCUGCAUGACAGGAAGCGGUUUACAAUGCCCUGGAGGUCCCUAUGAUUCACUGAGCAGUGCUGGACAACUAGACAAAAGCAAAUGUCAUAUCCACCCAGUUCAGGGGGCUUAGGCAGCUGUUUACCACGCCAGCAGUUUUCCUGUUUCACACUCCAUAUCCUCAAUAUAGGGCAUUCUCUUAAGUGACCCAUCAUGCCCCUUCCAGUACACUCAUUGUCAGUCUUUCCUUUUUUCUCCUCCCUUCACUCUUUCCACAUUUCAUCCAAAUUGUUCUCUUUUCCUCCCCUCCAGGGGAGGACAGGAGGAUGCCCAGUGCCUGUUUCCAGUCUUAUCAUGAGCACAAGACCAGUUGGUGUUUACACAUGAAAGGGAACUAACUGAUAUCCUACGCCUGUACAUCAGAGGGAAGUACCUGUUUUCCUUUGAAUUCAAUAGGCAGCUAAUGAGUUUUCCAUUCCUUCUGAUCUCAAUCUGCUGUCACGUCCACUAGUGGGUGAUCUUCUUUCUGUUGCAAAAGAGGACUUUCUGAACUCCUAUGUGGGUGGUCAUUUAUGAAGGCUGAUUGGUGUUUGAAAAUAAUUUAGAACUCUGUGUGUUCAUAUGUGUAUGUAUGUAUGUGUAAAAAUAAAAGUUGGUUGGCAUAACAUCAUGGGUGCUGGGAGCGGGUCUGGUAACCAGGAUAAAGAGUGGUCUUCUCUGUCCCUUGUCUGGCCACAAUUAGGAGAGGGUCUGGAUUGUCAGGAAAUGGAGCUUGCUCCACCCUCUCACUGUGGCUCAAGAAUUUUCUUUUCAACAAUGAAAAGAUGCACAGAUCAUAGUACAGGAGAUCAUAAAAGUCACUCUUGCUAUCUUCAGUAUAUCAUAGUUGUACACCAUUCUAUAAAAAUAUGAGAAAGAGAGAGAGAGAGAUCUUUGUAGGAAUAAACAUAGAAAGCCAUUUUAUCUACAAAGCCAAUUCAACCUGGACUGCAGUACUCACAACCAUAAAGUACUAGUUAGGUUAUUAGUUAGUGGUUGACAACCAUAAAGUACUAGUUAGGUUAUUAGUUAGUGAUUGGAGGGAUGCAAAAGCUGACUUGAAUACAUGACUUCAAUCAUUUGGAUAAAGGUUUAAUUUCCUGUAAGAAAGCUGCAGAAAGUCAAUGACCUAAAUAUCUGAACUUGGGUUUUUCCAAGGAAACUACCAGACUUCCCCAUUGUCUUAGAUUAAAGACAAUUAAUAAAAUGCCUAACAGGCCCCGGAGGUCUUCUGUGUAAUUAGAUCAACAGCAGUACAACAUCUGAGAUUUCUCUCUCUCUCCAACAAGACCCUUUAGGUUUGGUAACACAUCCAAGGAGAAGAGGAAAGAAAGAAAGAAAACCCCAAAACCAAAAGCACAAAUAAAACUGCUGAAAUUAAGAAGUUAGGAUCUUCCCAAAGGCAAGCAACUGAACUCAUUCUACCAGUGAGACUGAGUGGAACCCUCUGCUCAGCCAUUCCUCAGCAUUGGACACGGGUUAUUCUUGAGGUUUGGAUAAACUAUGGGUUGGUCUGCAGGAAAUACAUUCAUUUUAAAAUAAAAUAAAAAAUAUGAGUUGGCAUCAAUAAAAUUCUAUGUUUUAAGAAAUGCAGGUUGGUAUUAUCAGCCCUGUUUUGCAGAUAGAAAAACCAUGGCUCUGAGAGUCAUCAGCAAUCCUGAUGUCUAGAAGAUUUCAAGGCCAGGACUCAAACCUACGACCUGGGACUCUAGAGUGUAGAGCCUAUGCUGUCUCCUUAAAUAGUCAUGACUUCACUAGGCUCACUGGAGAGAGAUGAUUUCACAUGCAAUAUUUAAAAAGUAAGAAUGCAGGGGUGAUGAAAAUGUGGCCCAAGUAUAUCUAAAAAGGAAGAUAGUUCACUGGCAUAUCAGGUCAUGAAACAACCGUGAGCGUGAACUAGGAAACCAUAAUGCAUGUGAGAAUGGCCCAAACACAACUGACUGCACCAUCUGGAGAAAAGGUGAAACCCACACAGAAAGAACGCCAAACAGAAAAAUGAGAUGGGCUUAUGUGAAGCAAAGAUCAACAUUUCAUGUAUCUUCUCACUUUAAGCACUUCUUCCUGCUUCUGGUAUAUCCCUUCACCCUGAGCUGAAGCAAGUUCAUUAGCUAGGUGGAAAACAAGAGGAAAGCCAGUGGAAACUGACACUCUUUUUAGAUUGUAACCCCUACUUGGGGCAAACUUACAGGAUCUCAAUGACAGAGGUUUGCUUUCUUAGUAAACAGCCUUGGAAGUUCCCCCUCAUCUUCCUUCAUGGGUCUGGUGUUCUUCAUCAUUUUACCAGUGACUUAAUGUUGGGAGAGAAAACCUGCUUGCUAGAUAUUAAGAUAAGCUUAUUAAGAGAAGAGGAUUGGAGUUGGAAGGGUGGGAGUUGAGCACUUAGCAUCUCGCAAGACAGGAUCAGAAUUUUAAAGAGAUCAGAGGAAAUUGAAAAAGAAUUCAUAAACAAAAAGUACAAUAAAUGCUUGUUGAAUAAAUAAUAAAACAAUGCAAAAACAAUUAUCCUGGGGAAAAUAGAGAUGGAGAAGUUCGUUACAAAGUAAAAGGUCUAUGGAUCAUGGUGAUGGUACUUUUGCUUCUGAAAUAAAAACCUAAGAUGUAUCACAACAAGCAUAAAUGUACUUCAUAACACCAGUUCAUUGAGUGCCUACUUAAUUAAUUCUGCUGAGAUACUGAUGAGGUACAGAAAAGGAAAGCGAGAAUCAAAAUAAAUAGUUUGACUGUCUGUUGGGCACUCAAAGGGUAGUUCUUGAUUGAUGCAUUAAAAUGUACUCUUUUUGCAGUCUUCAGCUUUAUUGAGGCAUCAUUGACAUGCAAUAAACUGCAUCUGUUUAAAAUGUGCAAUGCGGUGAGUUUUGAGGUAUACACACAUCUGUAAAACUGUCACCACAAUCAAGAUGAUCAACUGAUCUAUCAUCCCUAAAACUUUCCUCAUGCCUCUUGGUAAUCCCUCUCUCUCCGCUCCCGGUACCCGGGCAACUACUGAUCUACUUUCUGUGAUUAUAGAUUAUAUUUUAUAGACUCAAUUUUAU